rnacentral:lncRNA from 12 species
CCAGAUUUCAAAGAGAGACAUUCAGGGGAAUGAAACGUAUGGUAUUCUUCAAAAAUACCUUCUGUAUUUUUUUUUUAUUCAAAUUAGCAUCUGGCUAGCAGAACCUAACACUGCCUCCUACAACGUCAGAUGGAAAUUUUGUGGGGUCUUACGAAACAGGAGAAACAGGUGGAAGAUGAAGGCAAUCCUUGGUGAAGAUCUCUUAGAAUUCUUAAACCCCUCCCACGCCCCAACGCUGGGUGCGAGACAAGAGCCAUGAGAAGAUAUGGGGCAGAGGGAGACCGUCUCUCAGAAGGUCUUCACUUCCAGGAAAUCAACCCACCAUGAAUCCCCAGAAAAAGCAGAAGGGAUGCUUUGUAUUCCCAUCUUGCAGAAAAUGGAAAUGGCUGAAGGCAGAGAUAGGGCGCUGCAAUUUCUCCCAUCUUCGUGUCUGCGUCAAAAAGUCACCCGUUGCUGUCCUUUUUUCUCGUUGUUGUAAUGGACCCUUUGGUCAAGGGAUAGAGCACAGACCAAGACGGGGUUCAAAAUUGGAAGGAAAAGAAAACCUGUCUGCUCAGAG